UUUCCCUUUUUUGGUGGAUUUGGGGCUUUGGGGUGAGUUUUUAACAGGGAAAUUCUCUUCCUCUGCUUCCCAGCAGUUCCUGUCAGGGUUAUUUCACCAGAACACGGGAAUGUGAAAUAUUCCAGAAUAUCCACAGGGUGGCACCACCGGAGCCGCUUUGGGCGAUGCCUUUUUUCCCAAAAUUUGCAUUUUGAGGACCUGGGAAGAAGAGUGAGAAGAAAGGGGAUUCUGGAGAGAAGCUGAUCCUUUCUCUGCUGGCAGUGGAAUUAUCCCUGGUUCUUUUCAGCAUUCCCUGGACAGAGCUCAUCCCACCUUCCUUCCCACUCUGCGUGUCACCAGGCUCUGGCAGGAGAGCUGCUCCUGGGGCUGGAAGCAAUUACAGCAAUUCUGCAUCUGGAUCGAAUAUUGUCGGAGCAAACUUGGUAGCUGCAAACGUGUCAAGUUUACAAACUGCUCGGGGUGAGUUGUAGCUACUGCUCCAGUGAAACGGGGGGCACAGAAAUCCUUGGGAAAUUCAUAUUGCUGUGUUAUCCACAGAAAGGGCCUGGAAGCUUCAUUUCCAUCAAUAAUUCUCAUUUUUGCUAAUCAAUCCUUUAUAAAUCCAGUAUUUACCCUGCUGGUUUGGUGUGCCCCAAAGCUGAGGAAGAGUUUUCCUUAAGCUGUCGUUAAAAUGUGAAUACUUUCAAUUUUAAAUUUCUAUAAAGCACUAAAAGCUGCUUUUACUAGAAAAGGACCAAUUUUGGGAAACUUUAAAUGCCAGUUAUUGGUAAAUGUGUUCCAGGAAUUUUGUAAUUUGAUGGAAAGGUGGGUGAGGGUCAGAUUUCCUAUCAGCAGUACAGACCAUGGCUUUGAUCACUGAUUUAAUUCCUGGAGUGGCAGUUUGCACUUGAAAUGCUGCCUCUUAAUUUGAGUACAUCAAAUAGAUGAAAACCAACAGAUGCUCUAACCCUCAGUAUUGUGAAUUAUUGUCAAAAGCUCCCUUAUUUCCUGCUCCUGUAGUUUUCCCCUUAAGGUUUUCCUGAUGCAUUGGGUAAUUUGUGAUUAGAGCUUGAGGGUUUUUAUUAUUAGAAACUUAAUUCUUGCUGUUUCCCAGAUAUUUGUACAAUAUUCUCUACACAGUAGUUUUAAUACUUGAUUAAGUAAGUUUGGAACGAUGGUGCAUUAUUAUUAUUUACAUCACAACAUUAAGUGAGUUUCAUUUCUUUUUCAAAUGCACUGUGUAACAGCUGAGAGUAACUUCAGUGCACUGUAAAUUAGUAGAGAAUAAUGUGAAUAUGAGAAAAGCCUUCUUUGGGUGCUUCUCUGGGCCUGCCCACCCUCCCAGGGCGGAAUUCCUUCCCAAAAUCCCACCCAGCCCUGCCCUGUGUCCUAAAACCCUCUCAGGUGUCUUCGGCAGAUAAAUGAGCUUCAAAGAAAGGCGAAAUAAUUUAAAUUUCCGUGGUCAGCAGCUGGCACAAGUUGCGGUUCCGUGGCUCCCUUUUCCACCUUCAGGGUGAAUUUUCCCGCGGGUUGUGCAGAGGAAGGAGGUUGAGGUGCCGGACACAGAGCGGGGAUGAACGCGCGGCUCCGGCUCCGUGUCCGUCCUGCCCCGAGCGGGGUCAGCUCCGCUCCUCCAUCCCCUGA